rnacentral:rRNA from 2 species
UUAGCGACUAAGCGUACACGGUGGAUGCCCUGGCAGUCAGAGGCGAUGAAGGACGUGCUAAUCUGCGAAAAGCGCCGGCGAGGUGAUAUGAACCCUUGACCCGGCGAUGUCCGAAUGGGGAAACCCAGUGUGAUUCGUCACACUAUCGUUAACUGAAUACAUAGGUUAACGAGGCGAACCGGGGGAACUGAAACAUCUAAGUACCCCGAGGAAAAGAAAUCAACCGAGAUUCCCCCAGUAGCGGCGAGCGAACGGGGAGCAGCCCGGAGUCUGAAUCAGCUUGUGUGUUAGUGGAACGGUCUGGAAAGUCCGACGGUACAGGGUGAUAGUCCCGUACACGAAAGCACACAGGUUGUGAACUCGAAGAKWAGGGCGGGACACGUGGUAUCCUGUCUGAAUAUGGGGGGACCAUCCUCCAAGGCUAAAUACUCCUGACUGACCGAUAGUGAACCAGUACCGUGAGGGAAAGGCGAAAAGAACCCCGGCGAGGGGAGUGAAAAAGAACCUGAAACCGUGUACGUACAAGCAGUGGGAGCCUCUUUAUGGGGUGACUGCGUACCUUUUGUAUAAUGGGUCAGCGACUUAUAUUCUGUAGCAAGGUUAACCGUAUAGGGGAGCCGAAGGGAAACCGAGUCUUAACUGGGCGUUAAGUUGCAGGGUAUAGACCCGAAACCCGGUGAUCUAGCCAUGGGCAGGUUGAAGGUUGGGUAACACUAACUGGAGGACCGAACCGACUAAUGUUGAAAAAUUAGCGGAUGACCUGUGGCUGGGGGUGAAAGGCCAAUCAAACCGGGAGAUAGCUGGUUCUCCCCGAAAGCUAUUUAGGUAGCGCCUCGUGAACUCAUCUUCGGGGGUAGAGCACUGUUUCGGCUAGGGGGCCAUCCCGGCUUACCAACCCGAUGCAAACUGCGAA